AUUGAGUGUAAAUCGACAAUCAACACACCCGACUGACCACAGUAUUGCCUAAGUGUAAGACAGGACCACUGCUUCCUUACAUAAGACCCACAGGGCUGGGUCACUCUCCUAGGCCCACGGUCUUGGCACCAUUAUCACGCCCUACAUUACUUAACGUAACAUGUAAAUAUAAGAUAACAUACCACAGCGCACUCUUACCUGACACAAGCACUAAGUGUAGUAUUAUGUCAACUCGCUAAGUGUUAAC